AGAGUUUGAUCAUGGCUCAGGACGAACGCUGGCGACGUGCUUAACACAUGCAAGUCGAACGGUGAACUUGGGAGCUUGCUCCUGGGGGAUCAGUGGCGAACGGGUGAGUAACACGUGAGCAAUCUGCCCCUUGACUCUGGGAUAAGCGUUGGAAACGACGUCUAAUACCGGAUACGACCAUCCCUGGCAUCGGGAGGUGGUGGAAAGAAUUUCGGUCAAGGAUGAGCUCGCGGCCUAUCAGCUAGUUGGUGAGGUAAUGGCUCACCAAGGCGACGACGGGUAGCCGGCCUGAGAGGGUGACCGGCCACACUGGGACUGAGACACGGCCCAGACUCCUACGGGAGGCAGCAGUGGGGAAUAUUGCACAAUGGGCGCAAGCCUGAUGCAGCAACGCCGCGUGAGGGACGACGGCCUUCGGGUUGUAAACCUCUUUUAGCAGGGAAGAAGCGAAAGUGACGGUACCUGCAGAAAAAGCACCGGCUAACUACGUGCCAGCAGCCGCGGUAAUACGUAGGGUGCAAGCGUUGUCCGGAAUUAUUGGGCGUAAAGAGCUCGUAGGCGGUUUGUCGCGUCUGCUGUGAAAUCCCGAGGCUCAACCUCGGGCCUGCAGUGGGUACGGGCAGACUAGAGUGCGGUAGGGGAGAUUGGAAUUCCUGGUGUAGCGGUGGAAUGCGCAGAUAUCAGGAGGAACACCGAUGGCGAAGGCAGAUCUCUGGGCCGUAACUGACGCUGAGGAGCGAAAGCGUGGGGAGCGAACAGGAUUAGAUACCCUAGUAGUCC
rnacentral:rRNA from 1 species